GGAUGUGAGGGUGAUCUGGCUGAGACAUCUGUUACCCCAUUGAUUGCCAGGGUUGAUUCAGCUGAUCUGGCUGGCUAGGCGGGUGUCCCCUUCCUCCCUCACCACUCCAUGUGCGUCCCUCCCAAAGCUGAAACUGCGCACUGGGUGGAAGAGGAUGGCCUUCCCCGAACAGAGACAGAAAGAGAAAUGCUACCACUGGUCAUAUUUCAUUGACCAAAACAAAUCACUCAACCAUGCCUAAACUUAAGGAUGGAAGAGUUACAUCUGGUAGAGAGUAUAAAUGAUGUAAAAAGUUGGAAAAGUCAGAAGAAACCCAAAACUUUAUUUUUCUUCUCAUGUUU
rnacentral:sRNA from 1 species